UAUGGCUUUCAUCCUAUGUGA
rnacentral:miRNA from 1 species